rnacentral:rRNA from 1 species
AACGAACGCUGGCGGCGUGCCUAACACAUGCAAGUCGUGCGAGAAAGUUCCUUCGGGAGCGAGUAAAGCGGCGCACGGGAGAGUAAUACAUAGGAACGUACCUUUUGGUGGGGGAUAACCACGGGAAACUGUGGCUAACACCGCAUAAAGACGUGAGUCUAAAGCAGGCCUCUAUUUAUAAGCUUGUGCCAAUAGAGCGGCCUAUGCCCCAUUAGCUAGUUGGUAGGGUAAUGGCCUACCAAGGCGACGAUGGGUAGGUGGUCUGAGAGGAUGAUCACCCUCACUGGGACUGAGACACGGCCCAGACUCCUACGGGAGGCAGCAGUGGGGAAUAUUGGACAAUGGCGAAAGCCUGAUCCAGCAAAUGCCGCGUGAGUGAAGAAA